GACCUUACAUGGAUUUUUUAAAUUUGAAACUGAGGGCAAAAUGCCUCAAGGAUGGGAAUUUGGGUGCCAUUACAUUUAUUUUUAGCUUUAAGAGCAGGAAAAUGCCUCUUGGAUAGGCAUUUAGGUGCAUUUACUCCAAUUUUUUCCUUGACAAGUGGGAAUAUGCCACAAGGAUACAAAUUUACAUGCUGGCAUAUUGAUUUUUAGCCUGAAAAGUGAUGAAAAUGCAUCAAGGAAAUGCAUUUAGCUUCUCUUACAUGAUUUUUAUCUUGAAAAGAUGUGACAUUUUCAUCAAGGAUGGCCACUUAGGUUCCCUUACAUAAUUUUUUUAUCCUGAACAGUGGGUUAAAUGCCUCAAGGAUAGGCAUUUACAUGCCCUUGCUAGAAUUGUUAACUUGAAUAGAGAGCAAAAUGCCUCAAGAAUAGCCUGUGGCUUUACCAUGAUUUUUAUCUUGAAAAGUAGGCAAAACACUACAAGGAUGGGCAUUUAGGCACCCUUAUUUGAAUUUUUAGCCUGAAAAGUGGAAUAAUGCUUUAAGGAUAGGCAUUUGUGUGUGGGGUUUUUUUUUUUUUUUUUUUGUGGUUUGGUUUGGCUACUAAUGUUCAGUACUUCAAUACAAUAAGUUGUUUCUAUAAUGCUUGAGAUGUAUUAAUACUUUAUCUAUGUUUGGAUGUAAUAUGCUCAUUCAAAGUGAAACAGUUAUUUAGAGUGUAGGCUCGAGAGGAGGUCCACAAUGCUUCACCGGGGAGUUUACAUAGGUCCAUGAUCAAAGCUGCCCAACAGGUGCAGGUGCAGGUCACAAUCCUGCCUUCCCUACCCAAAAUUCUGGUCAGUCUAACUCUUAUCAUUUGAUAAGCCAUAUAUAUAGAUUAAAUGUUGACUGUCCAUUUCUUUAGCAUACAUUUAACUCACCUAGUUUGACACCAACCUGAUUCUUGGACCUGGGCAUAUUUUCUAGGUGAAGUUUGCUAAGCCCACACAUGGGUAGAGCCUUCUGCAACAACAUACAGCCAUAUGUACCAAUAUAACAUAAGGCCAUGACUGUCCAACAGGUUUGAGGCACCUAUGGAUCUAAAGAAAGAGCGGGAAAGAUUAAUAUUUGAACAAAACUAUGGGGAAGCAUUCACUUCAGCCCAUGAAUUGUUGGAUGUUUAUUUGGUUUUUAAAUAAUGCAGAUUUUGCUUAGUUUUUCAAAGUUUAUAAUUGAGAGGAUGAGCAUGUGCUCUUGAAGUACUCUCUCUCUCUCUCUCUCUCUCUCUCUCUCUCUGACAUCUCAUCCUUAUCUUUUUCUAUAUUUUUAGUUCUUCAAUUUUGCUGCAUAACUUUUCUGUAUGAUGAUAUUCGUUGUAGGAAGCUAUUCGUUGGGGUACUGAUUAUCUUCUCAAAGCUACUGUCAUCAAAACACCAUAUAUGUGCAGAUUUUAAGCAAUGAAAAUGGUUUUUGGGAUUUUUAGAGGGCUUGAAAGAAAGAGAAGCAGAGAAAACAGAGCAAUGCGAGUUUUUAUUUUUGGUUACAGGUGGGUGAUGCUAACAAGGAUCAUGCGUGUUGAACACAAUGAAGUCAGGAAAAACACAUGUUGUAGCUAUAUAACACAUGCACAGAUCGACACAUCACAUUUUAAUGCAACUUGGUUAUCAAGGCAAUGGUUAAUCAAAUUUUGAUGAAGUUUGGUUAUCUGGAGCAUUUUUUAUAUGAAUAGUAACUCUGUUACUGAAAAAUGUGGAUCUUUAGCAUUGAUUAGAGAAGUGCUUAUAUUUUUUAACAAAACCAGAUGGUUAUUGGUCUUGUACAUUUAAUAGUUGGGAGUUUUGUCUAUGGCGGCACAAAAACAAAGAGCAAAUUUGGGACUGGACCUGAGUCAGCAAUAGAAUCUGAACAUCCGACAGGUUAGGGGAGUUGAGACUGUUACUCUUGGAGAUGAUGAAGCCCGUGCUAGAGGUUGUCAGAAAAGCAUUCUUGAGAGAAGCUCCUACAACCUUCCAUUUUUUGAUUGAAAUGAGGGAAAAGAAA